UGGGGAAUAUUGCACAAUGGGCGCAAGCCUGAUGCAGCCAUGCCGCGUGUGUGAAGAAGGCCUUCGGGUUGUAAAGUACUUUCAGCGGGGAGGAAGGGAGUAAAGUUAAUACCUUUACUCAUUGAUGUUACCCGCAGAAGAAGCACCGGCUAACUCCGUGCCAGCAGCCGCGGUAAUACGGAGGGUGCAAGCGUUAAUCGGAAUUACUGGGCGUAAAGCGCACGCAGGCGGUCUGUCAAGUCGGAUGUGAAAUCCCCGGGCUCAACCUGGGAACUGCAUUCGAAACUGGCAGGCUAGAGUCUUGUAGAGGGGGGUAGAAUUCCAGGUGUAGCGGUGAAAUGCGUAGAGAUCUGGAGGAAUACCGGUGGCGAAGGCGGCCCCCUGGACAAAGACUAACGCUCAGGUGCGAAAGCGUGGGGAGCAAACAGG
rnacentral:rRNA from 1 species